AGCGAACGCUGGCGGCAGGCCUAACACAUGCAAGUCGAACGGACCUUUCGGGGUUAGUGGCGGACGGGUGAGUAACACGUGGGAACGUGCCUUUAGGUUCGGAAUAGCUCCUGGAAACGGGUGGUAAUGCCGAAUGUGCCCUUCGGGGGAAAGAUUUAUCGCCUUUAGAGCGGCCCGCGUCUGAUUAGCUAGUUGGUUGAGGUAACGGCUCACCAAGGCGACGAUCAGUAGCUGGUCUGAGAGGAUGGCCAGCCACAUUGGGACUGAGACACGGCCCAAACUCCUACGGGAGGCAGCAGUGGGGAAUCUUGCGCAAUGGGCGAAAGCCUGACGCAGCCAUGCGGCGUGAAUGAUGAAGGUCUUAGGAUUGUAAAAUUCUUUCACCGGGGACGAUAAUGACGGUACCCGGAGAAGAAGCCCCGGCUAACUACGUG
rnacentral:rRNA from 1 species